rnacentral:rRNA from 1 species
GAUGAACGCUGGCGGCGUGCCUAAUACAUGCAGUAGAACGCUGAAGGAAGGAGCUUGCUCUUUCCGGAUGAGUUGCGAACGGGUGAGUAACGCGUAGGUAACCUGCCUGGUAGCGGGGGAUAACUAUUGGAAACGAUAGCUAAUACCGCAUAACAGUAGAUGUUGCAUGACAACUAUUUGAAAGGGGCAAUUGCUCCACUACCAGAUGGACCUGCGUUGUAUUAGCUAGUUGGUGAGGUAACGGCUCACCAAGGCGACGAUACAUAGCCGACCUGAGAGGGUGAUCGGCCACACUGGGACUGAGACACGGCCCAGACUCCUACGGGAGGCAGCAGUAGGGAAUCUUCGGCAAUGGACGGAAGUCUGACCGAGCAACGCCGCGUGAGUGAAGAAGGUUUUCGGAUCGUAAAGCUCUGUUGUAAGAGAAGAACGAGUGUGAGAGUGGAAAGUUCACACUGUGACGGUAUCUUACCAGAAAGGGACGGCUAACUACGUG